UACGUAGGGGGCUAGCGUUGUCCAGAAUCAUUGGGCGUAAAGAGCGUGUAGGCGGCCCGGUAAGUCCGCUGUGAAAGUCGGGGGCUCAACCCUCGGAUGCCGGUGGAUACUGUCGGGCUCGAGUACGGAAGAGGCGAGUGGAAUUCCUGGUGUAGCGGUGAAAUGCGCAGAUAUCAGGAGGAACACCUAUUGCGAAGGCAGCUCGCUGGGACGUUACUGACGCUGAGACGCGAAAGCGUGGGGAGCAAACAGG
rnacentral:rRNA from 1 species